UGGGGGAUAUUGCACAAUGGGCGAAAGCCUGAUGCAGCGACGCCGCGUGGGGGAUGAAGGCCUUCGGGUUGUAAACUUCUUUUGCUCUGAACAAGGCAUGCCUUUGGGGUGUGUUGAGUGUAGGGGUUGAUUAGCGCCGGCUAACUACGUUCCAGCAGCCGCGGUAAUACGUAGGGCGCGAGCGUUGUCCGGAAUUAUUGGGCGUAAAGGGCUUGUAGGUGGCUGGUUGAGUCUGUCGUGAAAGCUCAUGGCUUAACUGUGGGUUUGCGGUGGGUACGGGCUGGCUUGAGUGCAGUAGGGGAGGCUGGAAUUCCUGGUGUAGCGGUGGAAUGCGCAGAUAUCAGGAGGAAUACCGGUGGCGAAGGCGGGUCUCUGGGCUGUUACUGACGCUGAGGAGCGAAAGCGUGGGGAGCGAACAGG
rnacentral:rRNA from 1 species